rnacentral:rRNA from 1 species
ACGUUAGCGGCGGACGGGUGGGUAACACGCGGGUAACCUACCUAUAAGACUGGGAUAACUUCGGGAAACCGGAGCUAAUACCGGAUAAUAUUUCGAACCGCAUGGUUCGAUAGUGAAAGAUGGUUUUGCUAUCACUUAUAGAUGGACCUGCGCCGUAUUAGCUAGUUGGUAAGGUAACGGCUUACCAAGGCGACGAUACGUAGCCGACCUGAGAGGGUGAUCGGCCACACUGGAACUGAGACACGGUCCAGACUCCUACGGGAGGCAGCAGGA